UUGGUCCAACUUGUGUCACUUUACCGUGCUAUGCUGCACUGCUUGUCAGAUCGUUGGUGUUAAUCAUUAAUUUCAAAAAUUUGAGUGGUUAGAAAUAUACAAUCAAUUCACUUAAAGUGUAUAGAUACAGCACUUACGGGUCUCGAUUGUGACUUGAUCCAACCCGCCUCACGCCACUUUCAACAUGAUUCGACCCACCGAGCCUAACGCCAUUUCGAACAUGACUCGGCCCAACGUAGCCUUCCGCCACAGGGUAGGAUGUUGGCUCAUUUAAGCCAACACUGCUAACUCGAUUCAAAUCCGAAUUUACGGCUUAUUUGACUCAGUUAUUUUUUAUUAUUUUGAAACGCAAUUAUUUGUAAUUUCUGUAUUUUCUGCUAUGAUUUGAAAUUUUAUGUUUGAAAGUAAAAUCUAUGAUUUGAACUUUUAAUUCUGCUGUAGAGGGCUAUCAGAA
rnacentral:lncRNA from 1 species